UCUUUUAGAUUUUUGUUGGAUUUGAAGAUCUGAGAAAUUUUGACCAGAUUGGAUGAAGGGCAUCUCAGCUCCCUUUUCCUCUUCUUCCCACCUAUCUGCUUUAGUCUGGUUCUCUUAGCCAUUCCAUUUUCGAUUGCCUUUUAGCGUAGCAAGGGACCUUUCCAAUCAGAGUCUCCUUUCACAAUAACAUAUGUGAGACCCAUAUCUAUUCCUGUAAGGAUGGCUUCAUAACAUGCAAUGGCUUCUGCGUCAAAGGCCAUGCCCACCGCUGUAUGGAGGCAAGAUUUAGAAAUCUUGAUUUCUCUAUUACCAUUUCGUGCCACAAUCGCUGAUGCCGAUUUGUAACUCAUACUUUCGAAAGAGGCAUCAAAGUUGAUUUUGAUGGUUGGGUUUUCAGAUUUUUGUUUCUGUCCAGCCAAAGUACCCAUAUUUCAUAGAUGAACAAGCGACGAUGGGGUUCCAAACAUCUGCUAAAAACCCAUAUAAGCCAUUCAAAGCAGUCUGUUGGUUCACUUUGACCUAUCCAUCCGAAGUUUACAUUUUUCCAUAAUUCUACUGCUACAGGACAUUCAACGAAGGCGUGCCAAAGUCUCACCACCCACUUUGCACCUGGGGAACUGAUUGCUAUGGGCCACUCUCCUAACGUUUAAAUUGGCCAUUGUCGGAAUAUAGAUCUAAGACACUCUCCAAAGCAUGAUCUUGAUUUUGUUGGGGAUUUGGAGUUCACAUAGUUGUUUGUAAAAUUGUUUGGUUGUGUUCUGUGUAGCAUUAGAGCUAGUUGUAUUAUUCUGGGUCUGUAAUAGUUUAUAGGCACUUCGGACUGUGAAUGUACCUGAGGGCUCACCUCGCCAGAUGACCAUAUCAGUAUGCCCGUCUCUUGCUAUUGGGAUCUGCAAGAUUCUAUCCAAAUCGUUCGCCUCAAAGGUAUUACGAAUAAGCUCUUCCCUCCACACUUUAUUGUUACUAUCAAUUAAAGAUGCAACAGUAGUAAUAUCUAUGUUAGUAAUUUGAUGAUAGACUUUUUAAUUGUCUACCCCGGGCAGCCACGCAUCCUUAUUAAUUAAAAUACUUUCUCCUGUA